GAUGAACGCUGGCGGCGUGCCUAAUACAUGCAAGUAGAACGCUGAAGGAAGGAGCUUGCUCUUUCCGGAUGAGUUGCGAACGGGUGAGUAACGCGUAGGUAACCUGCCUGGUAGCGGGGGAUAACUAUUGGAAACGAUAGCUAAUACCGCAUAACAGUAGAUGUUGCAUGAUAUCUACUUAGAAGGUGCAAUUGCACCACUACCAGAUGGACCUGCGUUGUAUUAGCUAGUUGGUGAGGUAACGGCUCACCAAGGCGACGAUACAUAGCCGACCUGAGAGGGUGAUCGGCCCAACUGGGACUGAGACACGGCCCAGACUCCUACGGGGGGGAGCAGGAGGGAAUCUUCGGCAAUGGACGGAAGUCUGACCGAGCAACGCCGCGGGAGUGAAGAAGGUUUUCGAAUCGUAAAGCUCUGUUGUAAGAGAAGAACGAGUGUGGGAGUGGAAAGUUCACACUGUGACGGUAUCUUACCAGAAAGGGACGGCUAACUACGUG
rnacentral:rRNA from 1 species